CACCUCUAGAUUUUCACAAGAAAUAACCUCCCGAGCUUUGGAGCAGGCUUAAAUAUUUCAAUCUAACAGAUUAUCCCAAAAAUAUUCAAAAUGCCCAACAGCGAAGCAAGAAACUUGAUGACAACAUAUGCCAUCCUUAUAAUAUUAUUAUUGGCGCUAUGGUUAUUGUACGCAGGGAUAAAUUAAAUAAGAUAAUUUGGGAAUAGUCGGAAGUGAACAACCUGAUGAAGUUUGUAGAUGUCAUUUGUAAUCCAAAGACUUAUAAAAUUCUAUGGAAGGUUUCACUUAACCAAGAAGAAUCCAGUACAUAUAAAACUAUCCAGCGAAAUGUACGGACCUAAUUAAUUAGAAUAUUUUUACACUUAUCGCCUAUAGAUAGA